UACGUAGGGGGCGAGCGUUGUCCGGAAUGAUUGGGCGUAAAGGGCGCGCAGGCGGCCCGGUAAGUCUGGAGUGAAAGUCCUAUUUUCAAGAUGGGAAUUGCUUUGGAUACUGUCGGGCUUGAGUGCAGGAGAGGUAAGUGGAAUUCCCAGUGUAGCGGUGAAAUGCGUAGAGAUUGGGAGGAACACCAGUGGCGAAGGCGACUUACUGGACUGUAACUGACGUUGAGGCUCGAAAGCGUGGGGAGCAAAC
rnacentral:rRNA from 1 species